CGUGAGGUUAUCUUCCUAAACAUAUGAUUCUCUGGCCGAUUUAAGAUGCCAGAUGUCUAUCUUUGAAUUUUUGUUCAAAUUCGGGUUGUGAAGUGCGGGAGAAAUUGUGUCGAGUGCAAGCAUUGAAGUUAUUUUACAGGCUGUGUCGACAAUAUAACUAAGUGCCUUCAAAAUUGCUGUAAAAAAUGGAGGACGCAGAGGAUCACUACAAAAUUCUGGGGCUACCAUCAGGCAAAGAAGGGGCAAAACUCGGCGAAGGGGAAAUACGCAAGGCCUACAGAGCACGAGCUCUCGUCUGGCAUCCCGACAAGAGACCUGAUGAUCCUAACGCUGCUGCUACCUUUCAGAAAAUUCAGACCGCCUAUGAACUCCUCACAGACAAAACCGCCCGCAAAGCUUUCGAUGACUUUCUUCGCUUGCGGGAGGAAAGGCUUCAGAGACAACAGCACAAGGUUUCUGAAGUCAGUGCCAAGCGAAGAAAAAUGAUGGACGAUCUCACACGGAGGGAAAGAGAAUUCGAAAUUCAAAAGCAGCAGGAAGACAAGGAAAAGGCCGAGGAGGAUCGGGCGGCUAAGAAACUUCAGGAAGAAAUUGCCAGGAUUCGAGCUUUACACGCACAGAGGUCCUCGCCAGCCUUUAAUUUUGCAACUCCUCAAGAUUCGAAAAAGAGACCAGCAGCUGCGAAUUUGGAAAAAGAAAAGGUGUUGAAAGCCACAUGGAAUUCAUUGGAGGGGCGUGGGGAUUAUAGUGUGGAGCGGCUUAGAGAAAUCUUUGAGAAAUUUGGAACAGUGGAAGAUAUUGUUGUCAGGGUUAAAAACUCUAAGAAGAAAGGUUCUGCUAUAAUUGUUAUGGGAUCCAAGGAACAAGUCGAUGCUGCCACUCGAAGUACGUGCGGAGAUAUUUCAAACCCUUUGCUUGUACUUCCCCUUUUGCCAUCAGCAACUAAUUCUGGAUAUGAUCCUGAGAAUAAGCAAGCAGAAGCUGUCAAUGAUGCAGCACUAAACAAUAUUGUUGGAGCUGGAUAUCAUGAAUAUGAGGAUACCAUUAUUAAGAAGUUACAGAAGGCUGCUGAGAAAGCAAAAUCAGAAAAGCAGGCACAAAGCUAAGGCGUGGUGAUGCUGAAAGAGAAGAUUUCAAGAGUUGCAAUUCAAAGAUUGCAUGCAUGAUAAUGCAGCAAUCCAGAUGGCAGGUCUGCUUAUUGGCAAAAUAUGAUAGAUGCCAUUACUGUUUGUGGUGCGGGGUUCAAAACCCCUAAUGACAAGGAGAUAAAAGGUUCUAUUUUGACUGAAAAAGUGGUUGAUGUGCAAGGCAAAUUGAUGAGCAAUGUGAUACAUGACUGAUUAAAGUAGUAGAACAUUGUUGAAUUUUCUUGUUUCUUCCUCAGGUGGCAUAGUGUUCUUGAAGUCAAUUGAUGCUUCUGGAAACACAAAAAAUGUUGAGUUCCUUUGUGAGGCCUUGGAGGGAGUCUUGGCCAAAGUGGUUGAGGAGAACAUAGUACAAAUAGCUACGGAUAAUGCAUCAAAUUAUUUUGCUGCAGUUAGCAAGAUGUGGAGCACGUGGGGAACACAUCUCGAGAAUGUAGGGGACACAGGAAAUGGAUCCUAACCUGUGUUUUACUGCUUUCUAAUGUAUUUUCAAUUUUCAAUAUAACUGUAUAAUCAAAUAAAAUUGUAAUACCCACUUUUAAAUCUUAAUACAUACAACUGGUUUCUAUGAUGAAAUGGUCUUCAUAUGCCUUUGGACA